rnacentral:rRNA from 1 species
AGGAUGAACGCUGGCGGCGUGCCUAACACAUGCAAGUCGAACGUCCUGUCUCGCAAGAGGCAGGGAGUGGCGGACGGGUGAGUACCACGUGGGUCAUCUACCGUGAGGUGAGGAAUACCGGCGAGAAAUCGCCGACAAGACCGCAUAGGCUCGAUGCAAGUCGAGCAAAGCUCUUUCGAGAGAGGGAGCGCCACACGAGGAGCCUGCGCCCGAUUAGCUAGCUGGUGGAGUAACGGUUCACCAGGGCGACGAUCGGUAGCUGGUCUGAGAGGACGAUCAGCCACACUGGGAUUGAGAACGGCCCAGACUCCUACGGGGGGCAGCAGUGAGGAAUUUUCCGCAAUGGAGGCAACUCUGACGGAGCAACGCCGCGUGCAGGAGGAAGGUUUUCGGAUCGUAAACUGCUUUUCUCGGGGACGAGCAAGGACGGUACCCGAGGAAGAAGCCCCGGCUAACUACGUGCCAGCAGCCGC